ACAUGGCUAUGAUUGGUUAUAUGAGUUUGUGAAAUUACAAACCUAAUUUCUGGGUGGUGUCAAAGAUGGGAUUACCUGAAACGGAUUCCCACGUUGCUUUGUGAUUUGGUGAUUAUGGUUCUUGACUUCUCUAAGAGAGGAAUAAAAGUGCCACACUCACUAAUGACCAAAUUGGUCAGUUCCACUCAUAUGCCCCCUAUAGCCUCUUUACCAUCUAGCCUUUCCAGAGUUAACCUAUUGUAAAAUUAGAUUGUAAAAAUGGACAGAGUGGCCACCACUCUGGGAUAAGGGUGAAGGACUCAUGGUGUCAUCCCCACUAAAUACUCCAGUGGAAAUUAUCACUUAAUUAUUUGUGAUAUCACCCAGCUCCCCAAAGAGCUGGCCUUCCUUUUCAGCCCCAGUUAUCUUUUGGAAGUGUAACUCUUUCAGUUUGAUUGUCCUGGGAACACAUGCAGUUUUCUCUUGAUGGGGAAACCCCUCUCUGAAGGUCUGCGUUUUAAGUGGCAGAGAUGCAAAAACAGCCUUCUAGACAGAGUUUCUAAUUGAAUUCUCCUCUAUACCGUUAUCCAUAAACUGAGUAAUGCAUCCAAGGAAGAAGAGAGGAUGAGAGAGGUCAGGAAGUUUAGAUUCCAGUAAAAUUUAAAUAGCCACUGAAUUUGCCAUAGCAAAACAUGAGCUAUGAUUCUGUUAGUACACAGGAAAAGUCAAUUAGGUGAACUGAUUUUUUAUGGUGUUGGGAAUAUUAUAAUUCAGGGAUUCUUAACCUAUAGCUUAACCUAUAGGCAAUUUAAGACUAGAUUUCAGGGGUAGGGCAGUGAAACUUCUAAAAUUGCUGUAACAUUUUUUAUUAAGUCAUAGGCAGUUUCCUAGGGAGAGGCUUUUAUCAAAUUCUCAGAAGGGUCCACUGCCAUAAAAGAUUAAGGAACCACUGCAUUCUAUCAUCAUAAUUUUUUGUCUUCUUUCAAAAGUUGAUAUUCUGGUUUUUUUUAUGCAGAAAAGACAAAAGCAUGUACAACUCUGAUAUUUCAUGAUCUUUAAUUUCUUCCCCCUCCUGGAUGUCCUAUAAUAAAUGUACAGGAAAGAAAUAUAAAACGCUAUCCAAACUCAGUUAAUAGCUCUGAGAAAUGCACACUCAGAGUGCUUUAAAAUCAGGUUACAAAUAUCAUUUUCAAUUUGCUGGGGAGAAAAUAGGAAGAGUCCCUUGGAAUACAGAAUAAAUUCAUUCUAUGUACAUUAUCAGUGUUGGUUCAUUAUAUUCUCAUUGGCCCACAACUCAACACAUCUUUAAGAAGCAAAAGUGCAUACACUCUCCCUUACUGACAAUAUUUAGGGGAAGACCACAUACUUUGUGAACUACUGUGAGUUGAGUUCUUGUAGUCAAAGCAGUAGUAGGUGGAGCUUCAUUCUCUGGUAUUAAAAUCCUAAAAGUGAGUAGUGUUAUUAAUUGGGGGCACUUUUGAGAUUUGAUUAAGAAAUUUACUGCUCUUGUGGGUUGUUUCCUCCCUUGUGGGAUGUUCUGGAUGAAUGUCAAGGUCUAGCCCCGGCAGAUUCCAGAAAGCUUGUCCAUCUAAAUUUGCUGUUAAGCCAUGGGAACUUUUCUAUUGCAGUCUUUGGGUCAUGGUAACGUGUAAAGCCUAGAGUUUGUUGAAGGGCACUUUUCUCUCUCUAAAAUUCUCCAUUCCUCACAACUGGUUUUUAUUAUUCCGUGACAUGCUGGGAGUGUUGCUAUGACUGUUUGAGAAGUAUGGGCAGAUAUAUUGCUGGCUGGCUUCUUACAGGAAGAGUUUCCCAUGAUGAACGGGAGCAGUGAUAGAUCACACCUACUAGAGCUGAAGUGUGGAUUGAGCCAGGACUUGAAGAGUAAAUGGAAAAUGAAAAAAAAAAAAAAAAGGCUUGGGGGAGGGUGGUUUCUUUUAUUUCUCACCUUAUUCUACUGGGCUGUUGUCUUUCCCUAAGAUCAUGGCAAAAAGUUUCAGAGAUUAUGUACAACAACUGUAUUGGAACCCUGCAACCAUUACAAAAUUGAAUUAGAAGUAAUUGGUUUUAUGCUACUCUGAGCACCCACCAUAGCUUAAACACAUACACACAUGCGUGCACGCAGGCACACACACACACAAACACACACACACGGGUGAUAAUGAAAAAUACUUUGGUGGCCUCAGGAAAUGAUAGAAUUUUCUCCCAUGUUUAGCUCCCACUCUCCUGAGGAACAGGUUGAUAGCUGUGACUAUUCUUCUUUGAUACCACACCAAAACUUAACAAGUUUCUCAAAAGUUAGUUGUGUGAUACCUGAAACAAUAUCAAUGAAUUUUUUAACUCCUUACAUUAAAAUACAUUGGUAUAUCUUUCACUAUGAAUAGGUCUUUUACCCAUCAUCAUUUUGUAACAUCACUCAUUGGUCAUUUGAAAAAUAUUGGUUCACUGAGUUAUGUUCAUUGAGUUAUGUGACAUACUUUGUUAGACAAUAUCAACGAUUUAUGUUCAUUAAUAUCACCAUUGAUCUCAUCAGAAAAGCACAAAUGUCAGUUAUUUAUAUUCACACAUCUUCACUUAACUACAUUCCUUAGUAAACAGCUUGCGGGGGGUUGAUAUUUGUUAAUGAACUGUCAAUAAACACAUGUUCUCUCGACUUCUUAAAAAAAGACUAUAUUGGGGUUGAGUGUGCUGGUUUCCAAUUCCUGUUCACGCCAUGGAGACAGAGAGAGGAGUCUUGGCUGCGGAUCUGGCCUCAGAGCUGGGCACGGCUUGCGAUCACGUGGUGGAAGCACAGCUUUUGUGCAGGGAGGAAAGUGGCAGAUUUUGAUAGAGAGCGUGCCAGCAGUUAUUAGGAAGAAAUCGGGAAGUGUUUGGAAACAGGGCUGCUAGCAUUCCCAACAAAGCUGGAGAAGUCUCUCCAAAGAACAAAAGGCAAGCACACGUUCAGGGUGAG
rnacentral:lncRNA from 1 species